GCUAAUAUUAGACAUCAUUUAGUCGCCCAGAGUGAAGAUUUAGUCGCAUAUGCGAGUGAUUUACUCGAAAUGUAGAGGGUUGAUUCAUAUAUAUAUUAAUAAUUCCUCAG